rnacentral:rRNA from 1 species
UACGGAGGAUCCGAGCGUUAUCCGGUUUUAUUGGGUUUAAAGGGUGCGUAGGCGGCCUAUUAAGUCAGGGGUGAAAGACGGUAGCUUAACUAUCGCAGUGCCUUUGAUACUGAUAGGCUUGAAUGUACUUGAGGUAGGCGGAAUGUGACAAGUAGCGGUGAAAUGCAUAGAUAUGUCACAGAACACCAAUUGCGAAGGCAGCUUACUAAAGUAUGAUUGACGCUGAGGCACGAAAGCGUGGGGAUCAAACAGG